GACGAACGCUGGCGGCGUGCUUAACACAUGCAAGUCGAACGAAGUGGCGAACGGGUGAGUAACGCGUAAUCAACCUGCUCUUCAGAGGGGGACAAUAGUUGGAAACGACUGCUAAUACCGCAUACUGAUGGAGGGGAUUGCGUCGGAUUAGCUAGUUGGAGGGGCAAUGGCCCACCAAGGCGAUGAUCAGUAGCCGGUCUGGGAGGGUGGACGGGCACAUUGGGACUGGGGCACGGGCCAGACUCCUUCGGGGAGCAGCCGUAGGGGAUCUUCGGCAAAGGGGGGAACCCUUGCCGCGCAAAGCCGCGUGGGUUGAGGAGGUUUUCGGGUCUUAAAGCUCUGUUGUUAAGGGAGCGGUACUUAACCAGAAAGCGACGGCUAACUACGUGCCAGCAGCCGCGGUAAUAC
rnacentral:rRNA from 1 species